CCUACGGGGCGCUGCAGUGAGGAAUAUUGGUCAAUGGACGAGAGUCUGAACCAGCCAAGUAGCGUGAAGGAUGACUGCCCUAUGGGUUGUAAACUUCUUUUAUAUGGGAAUAAAAUGUUCCAAGUGUGGGAUUUUGUAUGUACCAUAUGAAUAAGGAUCGGCUAACGCCGUGCCAGCAGCCGCGGUAAUACGGAGGAUCCGAGCGUUAUCCGGAUUUAUUGGGUUUAACAGGAGCGUAGGUGGAUUGUUAAGUCAGGUGUGAAAGUUUGCGGCUCAACCGUAAAAUUGCAGUUGAAACUGGCAGUCUUGAGUACAGUAGAGGUGGGCGGAAUUCGCGGUGUAGCGGUGAAAUGCUUAGAUAUCACGAAGAACUCCGAUUGCGAAGGCAGUUCACUGGACUGCAACUGACACUGAGGCUCGAAAGUGUGGGUAUCAAACAGGAUUAGAUACCCGAGUAGUC
rnacentral:rRNA from 1 species